UGGGGAAUUUUGGACAAUGGGCGAAAGCCUGAUCCAGCGACGCCGCGUGGAGGAUGAAGGUCUUCGGAUUGUAAACUCCUUUUGGAGGGGACGAAUGCCCGCAAGGGCUUGACGGUACCCUCAGAAAAAGCCACGGCUAACUACGUGCCAGCAGCCGCGGUAAUACGUAGGUGGCGAGCGUUACUCGGAAUUACUAGGUGUAAAGCGCUUGCAGGUGGUUGGAUAAGUCUGUGGUUAAAUUUUCCGGCUUAACCGGAAACAGUCCAUAGAUACUAUCUGGCUUGAGUGUGGCAGGGGGCAACGGAAUUCCAGGUGUAGCGGUGAAAUGCGUAGAUAUCUGGAGGAACACCGAUGGCGAAAGCAGUUGCCUGGGCCAAUACUGACACUGAGGAGCGAAAGCUAGGGGAGCAAACAGG
rnacentral:rRNA from 1 species